rnacentral:rRNA from 1 species
UACAGAGGUCUCAAGCGUUGUUCGGAUUCAUUGGGCGUAAAGGGUGCGUAGGUGGUGGGGUAAGUCGGAUGUGAAAUCCCGGGGCUCAACCCCGGAACUGCAUUCGAUACUGCCUUGCUCGAGUACUGGAGAGGAGACUGGAAUUUACGGUGUAGCAGUGAAAUGCGUAGAGAUGUGGAGGAAUACCGAUGGCGAAGGCAGCCCCCUGGGCCAAUACUGACGCUCAUGCACGAAAGCGUGGGGAGCAAACAGG